rnacentral:rRNA from 1 species
UGGGGAAUUUUACACAAUGGGGGAAACCCUGAUGCAGCGACGCCGCGUGAUUUAGAAGGCCUUCGGGUUGUAAAAAUCUUUUCUAUGGGAAGAAAAUGACAGUACCAUAGGAAUAAGGACCGGCUAAUUACGUGCCAGCAGCCGCGGUAAUACGUAAGGUCCGAGCGUUGUCCGGAAUCAUUGGGCGUAAAGGGUACGUAGGCGGGUAAGCAAGUUAGAAGUGAAAUCCUGUAGCUCAACUACAGUAAGCUUUUAAAACUGCUCAUCUUGAGAUAUGGAAGGGAAAGUGGAAUUCCUAGUGUAGCGGUGAAAUGCGCAGAUAUUAGGAGGAAUACCGGUGGCGAAGGCGACUUUCUGGCCAUAAUCUGACGCUGAGGUACGAAAGCGUGGGUAGCAAACAGG